CCUACGGGCGGCAGCAGUGAGGAAUAUUGGUCAAUGGGCGCGAGCCUGAACCAGCCAAGUCGCGUGCGGGAGGACGGCCCUACGGGUUGUAAACCUCUUUUGCCGGGGAGCAACGGGCGCCACGUGUGGCGUCACUGAGAGUACCCGGAGAAAAAGCAUCGGUAAACUCCGUGCCAGCAGCCGCGGUAAUACGGAGGAUGCGAGCGUUUUCCGGAUUUAUUGGGUUUAAGGGGUGCGUAGGCGGAUCGUUAAGUCAGGGGUCAAAUUGAGGGGCUCAACCCCUUCCCGCCAUUGAAACUGGCGUUCUUGAGUGGAGGAGAGGUAUGCGGAAUGCGUGGUGUAGCGGUGAAAUGCAUAGAUAUCACGCAGAACCCCGAUUGCGAAGGCAGCAUGCCGGCUUCCGACUGACGCUGAAGCACGAAAGCGUGGGGAUCGAACAGGAUUAGAUACCCGGGUAGUC
rnacentral:rRNA from 1 species